GUGCCUGUGGCUCAAAGGAGUAGGGCACUGGCCCUAUACACCAGAGGUGGUGGGUUCAAACCCACCCCGGACA
rnacentral:tRNA from 1 species